rnacentral:rRNA from 1 species
AGAACGAACGCUGGCGGCAGGCUUAACACAUGCAAGUCGAACGCACCGCAAGGUGAGUGGCAGACGGGUGAGUAACGCGUGGGAAUCUACCUAGCUCUUCGGAAUAGCUCCGGGAAACUGGAAUUAAUACCGAGUACGCCCUACGGGGGAAAGAUUUAUCGGAGUUAGAUGAGCCCGCGUUGGAUUAGCUAGUUGGUGGGGUAAUGGCCUACAAGGCGACGAUCCAUAGCUGGUCUGAGAGGAUGAUCAGCCACACUGGGACUGAGACACGGCCCAGACUCCUACGGGAGGCAGCAGUGGGGAAUAUUGGACAAUGGGCGCAAGCCUGAUCCAGCCAUGCCGCGUGAGUGAUGAAGGCCCUAGGUUGUAAAGCUCUUCAGUAGGGGAAGAUAAAUGACGGUACCACGAGAAGAAGCCCGGCAACUUCGCGCCAGCAGCCGC